CUGGGUCUCCUUCCCAGAGCAUCUCAUUCAGCAGAUCUGAAAGGAGGCCUAAGAAUUUGAAUUUCUAACGAAUUCCCAGGUAAUUCUGUGAUUUCCCAAUUCUGGUGAUUCAAUGGAACUCAUAAAAGAUAGGUCCGCCUAUUUUACGAAAUAGAUUGCCUUGCUAUAGAUGAUUCUUGAUUGCUUUUAUAUUAUAUGAGUGCAUGAAUAACUCUGGCAUUCGGAAAUGGUAAUAUUCUCCUUUCCUAGAUCAAAUCAGAAAGCCGUGUGCAUUAAAAGGAGUUUUAAAAAAGGAAACUCUGCAUGUCUAAAGUUAAGCUGAAGCAUGACUACUGCAUUGGAGAAACCGUUCAAGAUCAGUUCAUCCCGGUGAAAAUAUUACUUCUGUAGCUAUGCCAAGGAAUUUACUCCAGAAGACUCCAGACCAUCCGCUGACAUUUCACAGUUUAAUCCCGGCUUCGGUUUCACAACUGGUGCUCAAAGCAGAAGAGGCGCACUGCGCCGUGCGAAUAGACAUUUAGAGCCUUUCAUGGCGGAAACAGUACCUAGCCCCUACUCCUUCCCAAGGGUGCCACGCAGAUUUCUGAGAUAUGAAAAAUGUGGGAAGGAAAGUUUCUGCAAAGCCCUGAUCCUUAGAAAAGCAAACUCCGCCGCCACAGUCCACAAGCCGCGCUCCAGCCUUGCUCCCUGCCAAGGAGCCGGCCAAGACCCAGACUCAGCAGGAGCGCGGGUGGUGGCUCCAGUUAAUGGCCCGCUUUCAUUCCUCCCUUCCCUGAACACUUUUAAACUUUUUUCUGGAGUCGACCCAAGCUCAGCAGAAUUUCCAGAUCCAUGGAAGUGCAGCAUGCAAGCAGCCCAUUUCCUGACAACGCUGCAAAGCUUCAGGGGACACAUUUUGUUAUUUCCACAUUUACGAGUCGAGCCGAAGCCCUGAGCCUGACUCCUGACCAGGCCAUCCCCCACCUGGGAAUGUUCCAGGGCUGAGCCGGGAGGAGAGGAUGCUAAACAGAGGAAGGAGCAUGCGCAGCAAAGUUAAUAAAAGUAAAUGUUCCAGUGGCUGCCUAGAUAGAAACACUGGCUUCCAACGGGUCUCUAAAAGGGACUGAGGUGUGAAGAUCAUUUUCUGAGCCCUGUUCAAGACUCUUCCCAUGAUAAUGUUCUGGCAUGAGCGCAAAGAAAGCAAAGUUUU
rnacentral:lncRNA from 1 species